GGGUUAGUAGGUUGGUCAUGCCUCUGGUAUGUACUGGUCUCACUGAUUCCUCCUUCCUGAUGAGCCGUAAUGCCAUUAAUUUGGUGUUGCGGGGAAUUUGGACUGUUACUUUGAAAAAAUUAGAGUGUUUAAAACAGGCGUAACCUAGUCUUUGAAUAUAUUAGCAUGGGAUAAUGAAAUAGGACGUUCGAUCCUAUUUUGUUGGUUUCUAGGAUUGACGUA
rnacentral:rRNA from 1 species